AUUCUACAUACACCCGUCUCUCUAUCCCCACGAGAACACGAACCAUCCCGGCCACCCGGCGCUAGGGUUCCCUCCACCGCCACGCCCCAUCCCUCUGCUCCCAGCAACCCUCUCCACCCUCUCCCAUCCCCAGUCGUCGUCGUAGCCCCUCGCCGUCGUUCGAUAUCCAAGACGGAGCCUCGGCCGACAGCUCCUUGGAGCACGCCGCCCGCCGGUGGAUGCCCUGAUUCUGCGUGACCCAGCCAGAGACUCACCUCGCCACCUUGGUGCCUCCCGCAGGAUCUCCGCCACCGCCUAGCGCUUCUGUGCGCAAGGAUGCCGACGCCUCUCCCUGGCCCUCCUGGCGGACAGCCUCCAGCCCACACAAGCUUCCCUGUUCUGGCUCUGUCGGCUACCAUGGUUGAGUAGAGCGAGGAGAUCGAGAGGGGAAAUAGUCACUUGAUUUUUGCGGAUUAUGUUGGGCAUGGAGAUUGAUCUUAACUUUUUGGUUGUUCGCAGAUUCAAUGAUGACAACACGCACACCUUUCCCUGAUGCUUGGGCAAAGGCAUGUAUGUCCGAUGUGCUGGCAAAACUUUAUAGAUGCAGAUUACAUACAUUAGAAAUUGCCAACUCGGUGGAUGAUAAAUACUAUGACUUGGGACUCAGAAAAAAGAUCAACACGUAGAUGCAGAUUACAUAGAUCAGGACUUGCUAACUCGGCGUAUGACACAUACUAAACGACAUCAACACGUAGGUGAGACCAUUGACUAUUAGAGGUGAGUCGGCAAGCUGUUUUCUUCUAUGGUUUGGCAUGUAACUUUGUGUUCUCUAGCUCUUUUUAGUUUUAUAUUUUUCUAACAAACAAGACCAACCUUAACUUAAGAAGAAAAGCAUCAUUAUAACCAUGAAAAAAAUCUGCUUAAAUGUUAGGCUUUUGUUCGUCUAUUAAGUCAUUACCCGUCUAAACGAGACACAGAAAUAAUGAAUUCUUACAUGGUAAGUUUUUGUUUCAUUUUCAUUCUUUGCCUUAUCCCGUGUUGGAAAAGAAGUUCAAUUGUUUUUUCCUCACAAUGUACCAAAGAUUCUGAUGAAAGAUGCUUAUUUUUCUCUCAGCUUCAAGAAACAGUCACUAUAUACUCUGUUUUGUAUAUAUUAUGUAGUUGUAAGGAGAUGUUUUAUUUUCUUUAUAUGCUACUAUUUUAACAUCUUGGAAGGGUCCUGAAUUUAUUGGAGACAACAAAGUGGGCGCACCAUGUGAGUUAUUUGGCACCUUGAUGCAGCAAAUCAACACAUGUUUGAGCUACAACGGAGGUCACUUAAAUAAUCAGCAGAGGAAUAGACUCGGCAAGGAAGGGAGCUACUCCAGUGUAGUCGGUGGAAUUGACUGGCAAAGUAAAUCAUGAAGCUCCUGGUUGGACCAAGAGGCUGAGAAUUGGGGCUGCACCUCCUACAACAGUCAAUUUCGUCGGUGGCCUGCCAACAACACUGGUGAAGGAACAAGGGUGGCCCGAGACCGAUAACAGGGGGCUCUUGAACUGGCAAAGCCAGAAGCCACCAUCGCUUCAUUGUCCCCGGAGAUCGUUUGGUGAUGUCCGAUGGAUAUCACGUGACGGAGUGGAGACGCACACUCCCCUGCCCCAACUUUGGUGCCGCCACCUACCUAUGUGGGGCACAGUCCUGCCUGACCCAGCCUACAUCUUGAUUGUAAAUCUCUCUCACCUUCUAUCUCGUGUUCAUGUGGUCGUAUUGAUUUUGCCUUUUGAGAAGUGUUGAAAGAAGAUUAUGUGCUUCAGACGACUGAAUGUCCAGUAAUAUCAUCAACCUUCAGUCA